rnacentral:rRNA from 1 species
CAGCCGUAAACAAUGUGCGUUAGGUGUGUCGGUAACCACGCGUUACUGAUGCGCCGAAGAGAAAUCGUGAAACGCACCACCUGGGAAGUACGGUCGCAAGGCUAAAACUUAAAGGAAUUGGCGGGGGAGCACCACAACAGGUGGAGCCUGCGGUUUAAUUGGAUUCAACGCCGGACAUCUCACCGGAUAAGACAGCUGAAUGAUUGCCGGGCUGAAGACCCUGCAUGACUAGCUGAGAGGAGGUGCAUGGCGUCAGUGACU